rnacentral:rRNA from 1 species
UACGUAGGGGGCAAGCGUUGUCCGGAUUCAUUGGGCGUAAAGAGCGUGUAGGCGGCCAGGUAGGUCGGUUGUGAAAACUGGAGGCUCAACCUUCAGAGGUCGACCGAAACCAUCUGGCUAGAGUCCGGGAGAGGAGAGUGGAAUUCCUGGUGUAGCGGUGAAAUGCGCAGAUAUCAGGAAGAACACCAGCGGCGAAGGCGGCUCACUGGGCUCCACCUGACGCUGAGGCGCGAAAGCGUGGGGAGCAAACCGG